rnacentral:rRNA from 1 species
UACGUAGGGUGCAAGCGUUGUCCGGAAUUAUUGGGCGUAAAGAGCUCGUAGGCGGUCUGUCGCGUCGGCUGUGAAAUCCCGGAGCUCAACUCCGGGUCUGCAGUCGAUACGGGCAAACUGGAGUACUGCAGGGGAGACUGGAAUUCCUGGUGUAGCGGUGGAAUGCGUAGAGAUCCGGAAGAACACCAGUGGCGAAGGCGGCCCGCUGGGCAGUGGCUGACGCUGAAGCGCGACAGCGUGGGGGAGCAAACAGG